rnacentral:rRNA from 1 species
CGCCUCUUGCAAAAUAAAUGAAUAAGAGGUCCCGCCUGCCCUGUGACUAUAUGUUCAACGGCCGCGGUAUUUUGACCGUGCGAAGGUAGCGCAAUCACUUGUCUUUUAAAUGAAGACCUGUAUGAAUGGCAUCACGAGGGCUUAGCUGUCUCCCCCUCCCAGUCAAUGAAAUUGAUUUUCCCGUGCAGAAGCGGGAAUAAGAACAUAAGACGAGAAGACCCUAUGGAGCUUAAGACGCCAGGACAGCUCAUGUUAAACACCCCAGAACAAAGGGAAUAAACUUAGUGAAAUCCUGCCCUAGUGUCUUUGGUUGGGGCGACCACGGGGAAAAACUUAACCCCCAUGCGGAAUAGGAAUACUAUUUUCCUAGACUCAAGAGCUCCCGCUCUAAUAGACAGAAUUUCUGACCAAAAGGAUCCGGCAAUGCCGAUCAACGGACCGAGUUACCCUAGGGAUAACAGCGCAAUCCUCUUUAAGAGUCCCUAUCGACAAGAGGGUUUACGACCUCGAUGUUGGAUCAGGACAUCCUAAUGGUGCAGCCGCUAUAAGGG